CCCGGACCAGCCUCGCAGCAGGGUUUUCUCUUCCGGGGAUCGGGGAUCGGGGAGACCUCUGAGCCAGAGUCCCCCUCCGUCUCCUACACCCACCGGCUGAGCGUUGCCCCUGCACCGCACCGCGCGUCCUUGUUUUUGUUGUCCUAAAAGCCUGAGCUGAAGCGGAAAUUUGGGAAGUCCUCUUUGGAACCCGAUGGGAUGGCCCUCAUCCUGACUCCCAUCCAGGCCUGGGCAGAGGAGGGAGGGCACCAGUGAGGCCCUCAGCCCCAGACCUUGCACCCCACAGUGGGAGCCGAGACGACGGAGGAAACAGCGUUUACCACCUGGGCGACCUUGACUGCAGCCGAUUAAAGUUUAAUCCGAGGUUGAGGUCCU
rnacentral:lncRNA from 1 species